GACGAACGCUGGCGGCGUGCUUAACACAUGCAAGUCGAACGAAAAGAGGGAAAGAGCUUGCUCUUUCCGGAAUUGAGUGGCAAACGGGUGAGUAACACGUAAACAACCUGCCUUCAGGAUGGGGACAACAGACGGAAACGACUGCUAAUACCGAAUAAGUUCCAAGAGCCGCAUGGCCCAUGGAAGAAAAGGUGGCCUCUACCUGUAAGCUAUCGCCUGAAGAGGGGUUUGCGUCUGAUUAGCUGGUUGGAGGGGUAACGGCCCACCAAGGCGACGAUCAGUAGCCGGUCUGAGAGGACGAACGGCCACACUGGAACUGAGACACGGUCCAGACUCCUACGGGAGGCAGCAGUGGGGAAUCUUCCGCAAUGGGCGAAAGCCUGACGGAGCAACGCCGCGUGAGUGAUGACGGCCUUCGGGUUGUAAAACUCUGUGAUCCGGGACGAAAAGGCAGAGUGCAAGAACAAACUGCAUUGACGGUACCGGAAAAGCAAGCCACGGCUAACUACGUG
rnacentral:rRNA from 1 species